UAUGGCGACCGGCGCACGGGUGAGUAACACGUAUCCAACCUGCCGAUGACUCGGGGAUAGCCUUUCGAAAGAAAGAUUAAUACCCGAUGGCAUAGUUCUUCCGCAUGGUAGAACUAUUAAAGAAUUUCGGUCAUCGAUGGGGAUGCGUUCCAUUAGGUUGUUGGCGGGGUAACGGCCCACCAAGCCUUCGAUGGAUAGGGGUUCUGAGAGGAAGGUCCCCCACAUUGGAACUGAGACACAGUCCAA
rnacentral:rRNA from 1 species